rnacentral:rRNA from 1 species
UACGUAGGGGGCAAGCGUUGUCCGGAAUUAUUGGGCGUAAAGAGCUCGUAGGCGGUCUGUCGCGUCGGCUGUGAAAACCCGCGGGCUCAACCCUCGGGCCUGCAGUCGAUACGGGCAGACUAGAGUGCGGUAGGGGAGACUGGAAUUCCUGGUGUAGCGGUGGAAUGCGCAGAUAUCAGGAGGAACACCGGUGGCGAAGGCGGGAUCCUGGGCCAGUACUGACGCUGAGGUGCGAAAGCGUGGGGAGCCAAACAGG